ensembl:lncRNA
GCAGUCGCUGCUUUGGGUUAAGUGUUCAUAACCCACAGUGGCCAUUGGGUGCCAUUGGGAUCCAUUGGGUGCCAUUGGGAUCCAUUGGGUGCCAUUGGGAUCCAUUGGGUGCCAUUGGGUGCUGUUGGGAUCCAUUGGGUGCCAUUGUGUGCCUUUGGGUGCCAUUGGGUGCCAUUGAUGCCCCAUUGGGUGCCAUUCAUGACCCACAGUGGCCAUUGAGUGCCAUUGGGUGCUGUUGGGAUCCAUUGGGUGCCACUGGGUGCUGUUGGGAUCCAUUGGGUGCCAUUGAUGCCCCAUUGGGUGCCAUUCAUAACCCACAGUGGCCAUUGGGUGCCAUUGGGUGUCUUUGGGUGCCAUUGGGUGCCAUUGAUGACCCACAGAGGCCAUUGGGUGCCACUGGGUGCUGUUGGGAUCCAUUGGGUGCCAUUGAUGCCCCAUUGGGUGCCAUUGAUAACCCACAGAGGUCAUUGGGUGCCUAUGGGUGCCAUUGGGUGCCAUUGAUGCCCCAUUGGGUGCCAUUCAUAACCCACAGUGGUCAUUGGGUGCCAUUGGGAUCCAUUGAGUGCCAUUGGGUGCCACUGAUGACCCAUUGAGGCCCAUGGUGGCCUUUGGGUGCCAUUGGGUGCCGCUGGGUACCAUUGGGUGCCAUUGAUGCCCCAUUGGGUGCCAUUCAUGACCCACAUGGCCAUUGGGUGUCUUUGAGUGCCAUUGGGUGCUGUUGGGAUCCAUUGGGUGCCACUGGGUGCCAUUGGGUGCCACUGGGUGCUGUUGGGAUCCAUUGGGUGCCAUUGAUGCCCCAUUGGGGUCAUUGGGUGCCAUUGGGAUCCAUUGGGUGCCAUUGGGUGCUGUUGGUAUCCAUGGGGUGCCAUUAGGGCCCACAUUGGCCAUUGGGUGCCAUUGGGUGCCCUUGAGGGCCCA